AACGAACGCUGGCGGCAGGCCUAACACAUGCAAGUCGAACGAGCAUUUUCCUUUCGGGGAAAAUGAGAGUGGCAGACGGGUGAGUAACGCGUGGGAAUCUACCCAUGAGUACGGAAUAAUUCGGGGAAACUCGGGCUAAUACCGUAUAUCCCCAUGUCUUAUGGCAUGGGAAAAGAUUUAUCGCUUAUGGAUGAGCCCGCGUUGGAUUAGUGAGUUGGUGAGGUAAGAGCUCACCAAAGCGACGAUCCAU
rnacentral:rRNA from 1 species